GUAUUGAUUGGUGCUUGCAUCAUGAUUUACAUUUGAGUGAGUGGCGAACUGGUGAGUAACACGUGGGAAACCUGCCCAGAAGCGGGGGAUAACACCUGGAAACAGAUGCUAAUACCGCAUAACAACUUGGACCGCAUGGCCCGAGUUUGAAAGAUGGCUUCGGCUAUCACUUUUGGAUGGUCCCGCGGCGUAUUAGCUAGAUGGUGGGGUAACGGCUCACCAUGGCAAUGAUACGUAGCCGACCUGAGAGGGUAAUCGGCCACAUUGGGACUGAGACACGGCCCAAACUUCUACGGGAGGCAGCAGUAGGGAAUCUUCCACAAUGGACGAAAGUCUGAUGGAGCAACGCCGCGUGAGUGAAGAAGGGUUUCGGCUCGUAAAACUCUGUUGUUAAAGAAGAACAUAUCUGAGAGUAACUGUUCAGGUAUUGACGGUAUUUAACCAGAAAGCCACGGCUAACUACGUGCCAGCAGCCGCGGUAAUACGUAGGUGGCAAGCGUUGUCCGGAUUUAUUGGGCGUAAAGCGAGCGCAGGCGGUUUUUUAAGUCUGAUGUGAAAGCCUUCGGCUCAACCGAAGAAGUGCAUCGGAAACUGGGAAACUUGAGUGCAGAAGAGGACAGUGGAACUCCAUGUGUAGCGGUGAAAUGCGUAGAUAUAUGGAAGAACACCAGUGGCGAAGGCGGCUGUCUGGUCUGUAACUGACGCUGAGGCUCGAAAGUAUGGGUAGCACACAGGAUUAGAUACGCUGGUAGUCCAUACCGUAGACGAUGAAUGCUAAGUGUUGGAGGGUUUCCGCCCUUCAGUGCUGCAGCUAACGCAUUAAGCAUUCCGCCUGG
rnacentral:rRNA from 1 species